CCUUCUCUUUUGUGUUGGUAAUUGGUUAAUUCUGAAAAAUCGAAAAAGAAAAAAGGAAAAGGAAAGAAAAUGCCACUUUAUUAUUAUUAUUAUUAUUUUUUUCUUCUUUUGUUUUAGUACUCGUGUAUAUAGCAGCGCUUUACCAGAUUUGUAGAUUAGAGAUUUUCAAUCGCUUUCCCUUCCCUGACUCUCAUGAAGACAGCGACAUAUGCUCCUCUCCCUGAAACUUCUCUUCCGCAAUUUCUGCAACUCUCUCUCUCUCUCCCCCCCAAAUGAAAAUUUUAACACCUUUCUUUUGCAGAUUAUUAUAUGCUUUUUUUUUUUUGUUCCUCGUAUCCUAUUACUCGCAUGAUUUAUGAGCUCUUUGCUUCUGUGUAUGGUAUAUCUUUUGGGUGUUUUUUUUUUUUCCUUUUCCAUAUGAGAUAAUAAGAGUGCAGGUGAUCAUCAGCAUCGGAUUUAGGGUUAGUGAAGAAGCAAAGAAGCGUCAAUGGAGGUGUUGAGCAGUGUCAAGGGCUUUGGCUUUUUGAACUUGCGGGAAAUUGGUGCGACUUUCCGGUAUAUAUUUGGCUGAGCUGUUGUGCACUUUUUCUGAUUAUCUCAGAGGGUAUUGACUAUUGAGGAACACAAUAAGGUGAAAAUGAGGUAAUGCUAUUACAUGAUAGGCCACAUGAAGAGGCCUUGUGUUCCCCAAAAGAAGAUGUUUUGAUAAAAUGAAGCAUUCUCCUGACAAACCCCCUUUUUGGGACUUUGGCAACACUAGCGCCGGGGGCAAGGGGGAGGUGGUGUGCGUGCUCAUUUGUCUCCGCCACUAUUCACAAUUCCCAUUCAUUCAUCUUGAUGUAUCGAGUAUCCACCUGACUCCAAGAAGAGAGUGCAGACUUGAGUUGUGUAGAUGGGCCCAAAAUACAAUAGACCCCGAAGGUUCGAGCUUACAAACAAUCAAACCAUUCAAAUAACAAGGGGAGACGUGGCGAAGAUGUUUACUGCUAUCUUAUCCUAACUGAACCAUUAUUAUUUUAUUCUGCCAGUGAGCAUGUAGUGCCGCACGACAUCAGGCAACUACUGUAAAAUUGUAAAAACAUAUAUAAUGACAAUAAAUUCAGUGGAAAGACAUGGUAACAAUGAGAAUAUUUGAGCAAAUGAUUAUU